CUAAACGGUUUCUAAAUAUCCCAACCCGAAUAACGUAAAAACCGAAUAAACCGACUCGAACCGAAAACCCGAAUGCCCAUGACUACACCUUACGAGUAAUAUCCACAGCAACAUCAACAUGAAUUUUGUUAUCUAUAUCAAACGAUAAAUGAAAUAAAACAUUGUAUUACCAAAAACUAUCUUUCUUUUUUUUUGAACACCAAAAACUAUCUUUUAUAAAUAAAAAAAGUCCAAAAACUAUGUCUACAACUAAAAACUAUAUUAAUGCAACCAUCAAAAGCUAUAUGAACAUGGGAAGGUUGGAAAGAUAAGAAAAAAGAAGAAAACACUUUUAGACAGAUUAUGAUUUGUGAGUCAGAUGUUCAGAGCUCUGAAGGUGCUUCUCGUUCCAAAACCUCUCGGUUUGUUCGUUUCGGUACAGCGUUUCCUGUAGACAGAGAAUUCUGACAGAGCAUGUAGAGACAGAACAAACAUAGUCCUGUUUCAGACAGAAGAGAUAAUAGUCACAAACAGGUUAUCCGAUUGGUUUACAUACAUUUCAAUACGAGGAGGAAGAAGAAGAAUAUCCUGAAUGAAUGUCCAAAAGUUUUGUUAAAUUGCUUCGUUUCCUUCAUCUUUUAUCAAAUACUACAAUAUAUAGUCUUAACAACUGAAAACUAUUAUAUGGUGGUUACUUGCAUAAGCAAUGGUCACACCCGGUAUUAUUCGUCUCAGAGCUGCCAAGAAGAAACAUUCCUAGUUCACACAAAUCCAGUUUAGAAAUUUGACAAUACAUAGAACCUGAAAACAUCGUCAUUUGUCUUGUUAUUGAGUAAAUACACACAAUGUUCAGAAUUUUGCAGAAUGUUAGUCAAUGGUCUUAAACAUAAUAAGUAAAUGCUUUAGUUUUAUACUUUUGCCAUGCAGGCAGGCACUCGGAUAAACACAGGUGGUCUAAUAGAACUAUCUCUGCUACUGUAAUAACGGAGAGACUGGAUAGAUGAAACUUGCCUUAACAAAUAGCCUCUUGUCAUGGCCCGUUGCUGUAACUCGCAAAACGGAUUCAGCUGCUCCGACAGUAUUAGCUAAGAGUGUAAUGAUGUUACAUGCUGUAACCUGUGAUAUUUGCCACUCCAAUGGAUCCACAGGUACCCUUCACAUAAAAAAAAGUUUUUACUUUGUAGAUCAUGUGACUGCAAGUAUCUUCCAAACAGUGCAAAGUGAUCAUCAUAUCAACAACACUUCUGGGUUUAUGACUUCUGCAUUGAUCGUAGAAGAGGUAUGAGAAUUAUAGAGUUAUGAGGAUGACACAGUGAUACACAACCAAAAACUUGUGUGGCUUCUGGAUAUCAAACGCAGAUAGUUUCACAGAGACAAAAGAUUGAGCUCUGUAUCCUAAUCUGUAAUGAUGAAACCACGCUCAAAUCAAGCAAAAGCACACUCUAUUUGAACAUACACUCGAUUAUGUAAAACUAAAGACCGCAAAAGCACAGGUUUGAUUUGCCGGUUAGACUUCGGUUCUAAUACAAAUGUCCGUUCGGUUAAUGAGUUAAGAAACCCCAACUAGUUUCGAAUCUAGACAGUUCAGUUACGUGAGCUGAGCCCACGACAGAAGAUGAUUUCAGAAAUUUAUUGGACUUUUAUUGGUGGGUUAAGCCAGGUCCGUGCCGUAGUGCAACGCAUGGACGACUCAUGAAAACCCAGAUAGCAAGCUAUCUUAAUGGGUUUUCUCCCUUAAAACAUAGAGUUAAUAUCGUGUGGUCCGAUGGACCACAUAUCAGAUAUUAAACUGAUAAGAACAGAUACUACACUUGAUCUUAGCCAAAAGGCCGAGAAAGGUAUGAAUUGGACGUUGUAUACGACGUGCUUUAUAUACACAAUUGAAUUAAAGCGAACAUAUCUUCAGUAACCGAUGUGGGACGAAGAAAACUCAAAGAAGCUUGUUAUUUUCGUCUCAACUGUUAAUUAAUUGUCACGUGUUGCACGUGGCUGGUGUACUAGUGUAGGAUGUGAUUCGAAGUGGCCACUCUUCUUUGUUCACUGGCUACGAUCUUUCUUCUCUGUUUCAACGACAGUUAGAUUGUUACGGGUUCUGUAUUUCAUUCAAGCUCUAGCUUAGCACUAUUUUUGGUAUCUUUUUGUUAAUGUCACAGAGGAUUCUAAAGACUAUUACAAAGCAAUCUGGUGAGUGGUGAUGUUUCAUGUAUACAUGCUUCGUGGGGUGUCUGUUCCAGCUCUUGACAAAGAUUGUCCUUGGGAGUUCCUGCCCCAAUAUAUUAGAUUAUUAGGUGGUGACUUGCAUGCUGUAAGUUAGCUGGAUGCUUCCACAUUCUGUUCCUUAAAUUGAGAACAGCUUUUCUGACAGUCACGGUAAUAUAUGAAAUGCAGACAGUCUUUGAGAACACACUGAAGUUUCAGAAGGAGUUGAUAAAAGAUUCCGAUGUUUUGGUAUAGACAAAAUAAUAUAGACCUGUGUACUCAAACUCAAUAAAGUUAUUGGCAGCCCUCUAAUGGUUCAAAGGAGUUGAUAAAAGAUUCCAAUGUGUGUUUUCUUUUUCAUUAAGAGAGUGGAGAUCACACAAUUGAAAUGUUAAGAGACAACACAAUAUAGAUCCAACAGAAGUUAUUUAACAAUGACAAAUCGAUAAGCAGAGUUGAAGAAAGGCA